GUCAGCUGUUUUUAAUUCGAUUGUAAAUAUUUUUAAUAUUAUCUUUGUCGCGUCAAGUGAUGGCUAUUUUGCGUGUAACACUCACUCGGUUUUUACACACCGCACAACUCGCUGGGCAGCACCUCUGGCGCAACUCUCGCUGCAGCAUCCCUUGUGGUUCUCCGUCGCUGAACUCCAUCGCCGCUCUCUGCCACCGCCGACACACUUCCCUUCGCAGAGGUUCCACUCAAUACUUCGCUUGAAACUUCGCUCGGGACUCUCGCCGCACCCGUGGCACUCUCGCCAACCAAUGUAUCGCCGAGAAAUUCGUUUUCCGAGGAACUACUUGCCCAGGAACUUCGCCGCACCCGCGGCACUAUCGCCCCAGAACUCCACCGCACUCGCGGCACUAUCGCCUGGUCUAUCGCACAGGAACUGAACUAACAACUCAACUGAACUGUGAGGCCGGUGUCCUGGGCUUAUAUAGGCCCAGGCGCCACUUCUAGAAGUCGCGAGCACUGCUGGGCCUGUCGCGUCAUCCCGCACCGACCCUACGCCAGAAAUCUUGAGACACGCAUCGGUGGCUCGCGUGGCGAACCGCGGAACUCCCCAGCUGUCAGGUAUCAGAUAAUGGCGCAGAUUCUGUGCGCUGCACGGGGAGUGGAGGGCAGGAGAGAGGGAAAGCGGCGACCGUUGUAAUCAACCAGGCACCGCCAAGUAAACAUUGUCACCGGCGAAGCACAGGCCACGCUGGUAGAGGGACAGAUUCUCCCUUUGCCCAGGCAAUACCACAUCGAGAGCCGUGACCCGGAGAACAAGGGAGCCAGUCUCGAAGAUCGAGUCAGGGGCCCUGUUCCGAUCGUCGAAGUGCUAGGCACUACCGCCGUGGUCAUUCGGCUUUCGACGGUACGGACGGUGAAAUAUCACCGGGACGCAGUUAGGCUGGUGGCCAAGGAAGGGGACUACCACCUGUUAGAUGACGGACACGAACCCGCAACUCCAAGGAGCGGAAACCUGCCGGUCGGGGAGGGCCCAGCCACGUCAACCCCCAGGAAAGAUGCUGACCUAGAGUUCCGGAAAUAGGGUCGCCUAUCCGAGCGACAGCGGACGCAUUCCAGCCGAUACAACUGAAUGCAGAACAGGCGAACCAUACAAUGCACUUCUGAGGUUUUCCGCAGGACGCAGGGACGGAGGGACAAGGGCGGAUCUCGAACCCGUCCCCAUAACCUGGGAACCGGAGGACGUGCCGUCUUGCCCAGAGACACCCGACGAGGAUGUACCUAGGUGGCCUCUUCACCUGUUACUGAUAAAUGCCACUUUUCGCGUGACUUUUGAAGAAUCACUGGAAUACGCCAUUGAUGACGCAGAAGCUACGUGGGGGGGGGGGGGGGAGGCACCCACCUCUGCACCCAGCUACAACUUACGGCCACGCCAGGUGGUGCCCGGCCCCGGUGUUGCAGGCUACAAGGGGCAAACCAGCAACAGCAUGAGACAUUCGGGGGCAGCGUGAACAAGGGCAUAGCAGUGUCACAUCGGGCUCCUUGGGGGUUGGGGGGGGGGGGGUCAUUUGACGUAGACCGGGGCUACGCCCUCCCUAAGCCCGAUGUGCCUCAUGUCUCGCCCUUGCAGGCCCUCUCCUCCCACCACCACCCUCCAUGACCCUGGAGUUUCCACCACCCGCAGUAGUGUAUGUGUGUGCGUGUGUUGGCCCGCGCCCACCGGUGUGACGUCAGUGCUUUGCUCCUGAAUGAUGCCGAGCGAGGACGAACAUUCCCGAGGCAGACUUUAUUUUAAUAUUAAAUUAGUUAUGUAGUUCUAUUGUUUUCAGCCAACAGGCUAAUUUAAUUAAGGGUUUAUGUAUGUUCAUUCCUUUUCCGGUGGCACGCUUUAUUUAAAUACAUGUUAACAGCCGUUGGCCGGAUGUAAGUGGUUAAGUUUAUUUUAAUUAACAUAUCAGUGUCUUAUGUGCGCAUGGCCACGCGGGUAGAGAAUUGAGGCUUGUGCGCUGCCUUCGAGAGCCUAUCUUUUUGUGUUGUUGAAUAAAUAGCAUGACCCCCACUGAGAGGUGAUGUAAUUACGUGUUUUUAUUUAUACUGGGGGAAACGGGCCUCGCUGCACACGGGCGAUGUCACGGCCCUGAGAAUAGAGUCGCUGGUCCACAUGCCCGUAACACAUGUGGUGGCCUCCUAGGUAUAAAGCCAAGUACAUAUAUCCGAAAAUCUGGACCCACUUUGCGACAGUAACACAGUAUCGUAAUAUUAUAUUUCUGGAAAGUAUACAACUAAGCUCAGUUCACAUGCCAUGUGUGGUAUCGUAGAUAUCCAGCAAGAAAAUUUUAAUGCAUAUCAGUGAAAAAAAUUACUAUUAGGGCCAUGAUGGAGGACUUCACACUGAAUGUUUACCAAAUGCCACAUUUAUGCAUCAUGCAUUGGCUGAAGCUUUAUUUAUUUUGGUGCAAAAAUGGAUUGCAAAUAUGUUUUUGUAUCUUUUUUGUAAGAAGAAAAGUGUGCUUUAAAUGCUGUACAAUUUCAUGCCAUGUAGACGAACCCCAUAAAUUUAAACACUGAGAAAUAAAUACAAAAUCCUACAAUAUACAUAGUGCUUAGUUUUAAAUAUAGUCCGUCUAACACUUAGAUUGCAGUGUAGAGCAAGGGCACCAACUUACCAGCCCACACAGUUCAAGGACGUCCCAUAAAUGCCCAUAUGAUAUCUGCCACUGAUAUGACGAAUGUCCAGUGUCCUUGCUAUAUCCACAAAGUAGACAUUGGGAUAUCCUAUGGUAGUUCCAAUGACCACAUUGUGGAUAUAGCCAUCAAGGGUGCCCAAAUGAUUUUUUGUAAGGGGCCCUAGGCCUGAGGGUAUAGAGUGUUUUUAAUAUUUUGGAAGACGAAUGGUAACUUUUAAGUAGCCAUGAAAAAGUUCCAGUUCCAACCCUGUUAAAAAUUUUGCCCUGUUAUUAAAAUACUAGGCCACGGUACUCAUACUCUAUUAAAAAGAAUAACAGGUUAAAUUAACUACUUGUUACUACAUAUUUGGCAACACAAAUGCAGGAGCGAAAUUUAAUACUUUAAACCACUUCUACAUAUUAUCGAAUUUAAAAUAAUUUUCUUGAAAGAAAAACACCUGAUUACACUAAUUUUUUUUUCUUUCUCUGAGGUGUGGGGGGAGGUAUGUGCACCCUUGAUAGCCAGGACAUUCACGAAGGACAUCACUAGGACAUCCACAAAGGACGUCACCCAGAUGUCUAUAAGGGAAUUUGCCUUAUGUCCACAAAGGAAUCUUCUAUGAAUUAAAUUGGGUCUUGUGGAAACCCUGUUACUUGCUACCCACUGUUGUCCAAUUGUCAUCUUUCUGGAAGCAACUGGAGUCUUAAGAUGGCAUGACUUUCUUUUAUUUGAUUCUGGAGAAAAUUCUAGUAGGUUUGUAGAAAAACAAAUUUACUAUACUUGACAACUGGUGCACUAAAUUAUUCUAAACACCAACAACUGCAAUAUUCUACACUAUCAAAAUGGUUUUAUUCUGUAUAUUUCUGUACGGUUUGUAGCACAUUUGUAACCAUGAGGUAAAUGAAUGUUUAUGGCUUAUUAUGAAAGAAAUAUUGAAUGAUGAUAAUAUUUUGAUAAAUUAAGGCAUCUUACUGUAAGUGAAUAAAAAAUGUUAAUUGUACUUAGUUUCGGAUGAGCAUGUGUGAAUUUGUGAUGGUUCUGAUCUUUCCUGCUAGCUAUGGUCUGAACUACACAUGCAUAAAAUACUUGUAUAGUUUUAAAGUUAUGCAUAAAAUACUUGUAUAGUUUUAAAGUUUAAUAGGAAAUUUUCCUAGUUCAGAAUAUCAAAGUGAACAAAUUGGAUAAAAUUUAGAUGGUGGUUAUAUUGAAGGACUUAAUAUUUAUUUUUUUUUACCAAAAUGCACAAUGGCACACAUUACAUGAUAAAGCAAGUCUCUGAUCUUCAUAACACAAAACACAAAAAUAAAUUUACUUUUUCACAGUUCCAAGAAAUAGUAUGAUUUUUAAACUUCCCGCUGUUGAUGAUAAAGGGAACCCGCAGUUACUUCGUAACUGGGUAUGACUUAGAAAUGCCUUGUUCCCAGGCAUGUAAAUUUACGUGGUAGAGAAAGCCGAUACAGAAAACUGUGGUCAAAAAAUACAUGGUUAAAUGGCAAACUGUCACCCGGUGCGACCAGUUGGUAAUGCUGCAAACAAUAACUGAACAACAACAACCUUCCUUUUCUUACUUCAGACCAAUAAAGGUUUUUCAGAACCGAGAAAAUUCAUUGUUCCAAUGCCCAAAACACAUGUCUUGCUCUCUGGCUGACUGUAACAAUCACGAACCUACAGGAGCAUUGCAUCAAAGUUCCUGAAACAAUAUUUAUAAAAAUUACUAAAAAAAUUCAGAAAUAUAGCAUAACUAGAAUAUUAAAAUUAUAUUCUGACAAAAAGUUACACAGCUGCAAUCAGUAGUUUUUACUUAAAUUCUUAAAAUGUGACAUCGUCCGGGCCUGUGGCCCCUUAGAGUCUAAUAUGCCACCGCCCAAACACCACCACCCUCUAUUCAAACCUCCCGCUAACGAGUGCACGCGCGUGUGUGUGAGUUGGUCGCCCGGCAAGAGGGCGCUGUAGAGCUAGUGUGCCGCACCCCUAAAUGUAAUUAAAUAUAUCAUUGUAAAUUGUUUUGAUUGUUUCCCGAGUGCGACGUGACGGCAGAUCAGACGGGAGGGUUUUUAUUUACUUUUAUUUAGCGUAGUGUAUUUAAUUACAAGGACGCUUCCGGACAUUCACGAAGCACACGGAAGGAAACCGAAGUCAGACACUAUUUAAAUAUAUCUAUUAAUAAUUGUAUUUUUUAUUAUCCUUUUUAAUAUUCAGUAAGUGUCAAGUAAUUUUUAAGAGUGUUUAUCCUGUUUACUUUAAUAACCCGGGGCACGCAGUCUUACGAAGGAUAACGGUAAUUGUGUUCGGCGCGAAGGACGCCAUGUUUCCUGCCGCGAGCCUUAUCUCGCCCCAUUCUCCUUCUUCAGCCGGCCGAGAGCGGACGCAUCUGCAGACACCCUGAGGACAUCACCGUUGUCUCACCGAUAAGUAGCUCUGUAAAAUUAACUAAUCCAAAUCACUUUCUUUUUCAUCCUCGGGGCCUCUCUCGGUCGGUGGGGGCUGUUUAGUAAUUAAUUUUUAUACUCUCAGGAGUGUUUACCACCUUCUUUCUACGUAAGGGCUUUAGGCGGCCACGUGUGUGGUCCGCCUCCUCAACUUAUACCGAUUCGUGCCUCGGGUGUUUUAGCUGUGUAAAGGGAGGAUUGUAGAAGGACGUGUAACGUAUCAAUAAAACCAACUUAAUUGAGCCACGUGUCUUUUGUGUUUGGAGGCCAUGUGAGCCCUUAACCCAGUCAGCGGCGUGUGGAACGCCCUAAGAACCCACUGCGGUUAUGUAGAAGCGUGCCCGACGCUGAGAGCGGGCUCGGUAUAGGGACAGGUGUCAACAUCGAGAUCAGGAGGGCUAAUAUCUCGCCUCACACGGGCCACGUAAUGCCCUGAAUAAGAGUCUCUAGCCGGGUCCAUGUGCCCUCUCACGUGGUGGCGCCCACUAUUUCCACAACUAGUUCAAAAUGUAACACCCGUAGGCCCUCAAAUGUCUAUCUCAAUUAAAAUAAUAAAA